rnacentral:rRNA from 1 species
UGGGGAAUUUUGCACAAUGGGGGAAACCCUGAUGCAGCGACGCCGCGUGAUUUAGAAGGCCUUCGGGUUGUAAAAAUCUUUUCUAUGGGAAGAAAAUGACAGUACCAUAGGAAUAAGGACUGGCUAAUUACGUGCCAGCAGCCGCGGUAAUACGUAAGGUCCGAGCGUUGUCCGGAAUCAUUGGGCGUAAAGGGUACGUAGGCGGGUAAGCAAGUUAGAAGUGAAAUCCUGUAGCUCAACUACAGUAAGCUUUUAAAACUGCUCAUCUUGCGAUAUGGAAGGGAAAGUGGAAUUCCUAGUGUAGCGGUGAAAUGCGCAGAUAUUAGGAGGAAUACCGGUGGCGAAGGCGACUUUCUGGCCAUAAUCUGACGCUGAGGUACGAAAGCGUGGGUAGCAAACAGG